GAGUCAGGGCUAGGGGCGCCAGGACUUGGGCGUGCAGGACGCCAGGACUUGGGCGUGCAGGACGCCAGAGCUGGGUCAGAACUCGAGCCAGCGGCGCCCGGAGAGAUUCGGAGAUGCAGGCGGCUCGGAUGGCCGCGAGCUUGGGGCGGCAGCUGCUGAGGCUCGGGGGCGGAAGGUCUGUGUGUGACAAGAGGGACGGUGGGCAGCGGCCCUGGGCACCGGGCCGGGACUGAACCCCCACUCCCCACAGCUCGCGGCUCACGGCGCUCCUGGGGCAGCCCCGGCCCGGCCCUGCCCGGCGGCCCUAUGCCGGGGGUGCCGCUCAGUGCUCAACGAAGAGCAGACACAGUUUCUUAAAGAGCUGGUGGAGCCUGUGUCCCGUUUCUUCGAGUACGCCCGUUUGGUGGAGAUCGUGGGCAUGCAUGACCUUGGCGUGGGCAUUACCCUGGGGGCCCAUCAGAGCAUCGGUUUCAAAGGCAUCCUGCUCUUUGGCACAAAGGCCCAGAAAGAAAAAUACCUCCCCAAACUGGCAUCUGGGGAGGCUGUGGCCGCUUUCUGUCUAACCGAGUCCUCAAGCGGGUCAGAUGCAGCCUCCAUCCGAACCUCUGCUGUGCCCAGCCCCUGUGGAAAAUACUAUACCCUUAAUGGAAGCAAGCUUUGGAUC
rnacentral:sRNA from 1 species